AUUGAACGCUGGCGGCAGGCCUAACACAUGCAAGUCGAGCGGUAGAGAGGUGCUUGCAUCUCUUGAGAGCGGCGGACGGGUGAGUAAUGCCUAGGAAUCUGCCUAGUGUGGGGGAUAACGUUCGGAAACGGACGCUAAUACCGCAUACGUCCUACGGGAGAAAGCGGGGGAUCUUCGGACCUCGCGCCAUUAGAUGAGCCUAGGUCGGAUUAGCUAGUUGGUGAGGUAAUGGCUCACCAAGGCGACGAUCCGUAACUGGUCUGAGAGGAUGAUCAGUCACACUGGAACUGAGACACGGUCCAGACUCCUACGGGAGGCAGCAGUGGGGAAUAUUGGAC
rnacentral:rRNA from 1 species